AGUGUUUGUUUGCUACAGCCUCGCGAUCUAUCCAGAUUAGCUACUCAGUGCUUCUACUUCUGCAUGGCUUGCUGUUUGGGGUUUUAUAGGCUGGGUUUCUGUAUAGAAACGUUAAUAUGCACUGUCCCUUUAAAAAUAAAACAUUUACUCAAACUCAAUAUGAGUAUUUCAAGUUAGGUUACUAGUAUUUCAAGUCAGGUUAAUAGUAUUUCAAGUCAGGUUAAUAGUAUUUCAAGUCAGGUUACUAGUAUUUCAAGUCAGGUUACUAGUAUAUCAAGUCAGGUUACUAGUAUUUCAAGUCAGGUUAAUAGUAUUUCAAGUCAGGUUAAUAGUAUUUCAAGUCAGGUUACUAGUAUUUCAAGUCAGGUUACUAGUAUAUCAAGUCAGGUUACUAGUAUUUCAAGUCAGGUUAAUAGUAUUUCAAGUCAGGUUAAUAGUAUUUCAAGUCAG
rnacentral:lncRNA from 1 species